GUACAUAUGGAAACUCACAUACCAUAUGUCUAAAUACUUAAAAGUUAUCAAUCAAACUAACAAACUGUUAAAUAGAAUAUGUUCUAUUCUCCUACUUUGACAAA